rnacentral:lncRNA from 1 species
AACAGUCCCAUUCCUCGUUCCAAAUGCAGCCGAAAACGGUCAGAUUUACGCGUAACAGUUACAUGAACAAAACAGCUAAAAAAAGACGAACCAAAAACAACCCAACUACACUGCACAACAAGGAAAAGACUAGCCAAGAGCUAGCUCAGGAAACUCGUGCGCUCGCCACGGGUGGAGAAGGCUACCUAGGUGCUAGGACGUACCCUAAAACUAGCCGAGAAUCACACGUUGGCGAUCUCCGUAUGUAUGUGAAAACUAUCCUGCCGGCAUGUGACUCCUCACCAACCUGUCCAAUGCAAGCGUCAGUGUUGUGUGAUGGAUUGCAAGCAAGAGCAACCAGUCAGAUUUGAUGUAGAUGCUGUUUCUGGCGAUGCAUCAUUGAACUUUGCAGCUUGACAGAUCCAUGCAUCCGGGUAUUCAUGGG